GUCUCUCUCUGUCUCUGUCUCUCUCUCUCUGUCUCUCUCUGUCUCUGUCUCUCUCUCUCUUUCUCUCUCUGUCUCUGUCUCUCUCUCUCUUUCUCUCUCUGUCUCUGUCUCUCUCUCUCUGUCUCUCUCUGUCUCUGUCUCUCUCUCUCUUUCUCUCUCUCCUGGACCCUUGGUCUGUCAAUUAGAAAUACAUAAAUAUGAAAGGAUAGUGGAAUUCAACUGUCAACACAGCAGCAACAACAACAAACAAAGUCACAGUGAAGAAGAGAAAUGGAGGGAGAACAUGCUUUGGCUUGAAGGGGAUCAAUUUAGGAUCUGUUCCCAACCCCCCAGCCAAACACACAGCGACCACACAAACCUCUGCUUCCAUGCUAACAGUCCUGGGACUACAGAGAGCACUGGACCACAGAGGAAUAAGAGAUUCCCAUGAAUCGCAACCCAAGCGCUGUAUGGAGAAAUGGACAGUUUGUCCCCUCCAAAAGGAUCCAAUGUGUGCGUCAGAGGUUACCACCACUCACGUGUCACCUCCCUUCAAGGUCCUGCAGUCUGUUGAGGAAGAAUGAGAGCGAGAACGAUGGAGAAAUCGAAAGAGCGAGAAAGAGCGACGGGGAUAGUGUCGGUGAUAGUCGGCCACGCAUUUAUAAUCACAGAGGCUUAUCCAGUUGGAUUAGUUUCUAAUCAAUCUAAGCAGUGGUCCAUCCUGCCUGACAUGGUAAUCCUAUGGAAGGAAGGGUCUCUCUCUCUCCCUCUCUUCUUUCUCCCUACCUCCCUCCCUCCCUUUUUCUCUCCCCCUCCCCUCCCUCUCGCUCUCUCUCUCCCUGUUUUUCUCUCCCUGUCUUUCUCUCCCUGUUUGACGGCGUAUUCUCCUCAUAUUAACAUGCAGAUGGGCUGCUUGCAUCAUACUGAAAUGUAAAAGUCAGACAGCUUUAGCGUGAGGACAUGUGGCCCUCCUCGGAGCUUCACAUUCAAUCACACUCAGCAGCUUUGAUUAGGACAAAUACGCUGCCUGGUGCAAACUGAAACACUAAAGUCACAGCAUCAGCUAAAGCUCCAGGUAUACAUACACAGCCAUAUGACAUGAGACAUUUCACAAUGAUUGGGUGUGUGAAACCUAAGGUGUAAGGUGUAUAAGAAGCUCACUAAGGGUAGAUCUGAUAUGUAGGGUUGUUUCCCUGUGUACAUUAGCGAUAGUCAUUAGUAGUUUUGGGGUCGGGGGGGCUGCAAUCUUUUUUUCAGAGGUGGGAGAGAGGGAUACAGAAUUUUUUUUUUUUUUGCCUGCGCUGGAGACAUCUGUAUCGGUCUACUGAUACAGUACUAGUGAAAGCCCAGUGAACUACUUUUGUGAAAGAAUGCAAACUAAAAGGUUUUGUGUGUUUACCAGCAUUUGUAACGGAUAAUUAUCCGUACAAAACAGUUCAUCUGAUAAUACUUGUGGAAUAUAAAAACACUUGCUUGA